rnacentral:rRNA from 1 species
UACAGAGGUCUCAAGCGUUGUUCGGAUUCAUUGGGCGUAAAGGGUGCGUAGGUGGCGGGGUAAGUCGGAUGUGAAAUCCGGGGGCUCAACCCCGGAACUGCAUUCGAUACUGCCUUGCUCGAGUACUGGAGAGGAGAUUGGAAUUUACGGUGUAGCAGUGAAAUGCAUAGAUAUCGUAAGGAAGACCAGUGGCGAAGGCGAAUCUCUGACAGUUACUGACACUGAGGCACGAAGGCCAGGGGAGCAAACAGG